CCUACGGGUGGCUGCAGUGGGGAAUAUUGGACAAUGGGGGCAACCCUGAUCCAGCCAUGCCGCGUGUGUGAAGAAGGCCCUCGGGUUGUAAAGCACUUUCAGUGAGGAAGAACGCCUGGUGGUUAAUACCCAUCAGGAAAGACAUCACUCACAGAAGAAGCACCGGCUAACUCCGUGCCAGCAGCCGCGGUAAUACGUAGGGUGCGAGCGUUAAUCGGAAUUACUGGGCGUAAAGCGCGCGUAGGUGGCUUGAUAAGCCGGUUGUGAAAGCCCCGGGCUCAACCUGGGAACGGCAUCCGGAACUGUCAAGCUAGAGUGCAGGAGAGGAAGGUAGAAUUCCCGGUGUAGCGGUGAAAUGCGUAGAGAUCGGGAGGAAUACCAGUGGCGAAGGCGGCCUUCUGGACUGACACUGACACUGAGGUGCGAAAGCGUGGGUAGCAAACAGGAUUAGAUACCCCAGUAGUC
rnacentral:rRNA from 1 species